rnacentral:rRNA from 1 species
AUUGAACGCUGGCGGCAGGCCUAACACAUGCAAGUCGAGCGGAUGACGGGAGCUUGCUCCUUGAUUCAGCGGCGGACGGGUGAGUAAUGCCUAGGAAUCUGCCUGGUAGUGGGGGACAACGUUUCGAAAGGAACGCUAAUACCGCAUACGUCCUACGAGAGAAAGCAGGGGACCUUCGGGCCUUGCGCUAUCAGAUGAGCCUAGGUCGGAUUAGCUAGUAGGUGAGGUAAUGGCUCACCUAGGCGACGAUCCGUAACUGGUCUGAGAGGAUGAUCAGUCACCCUGGAACUGAGACACGGUCCAGGCUCCUACGGGAGGCAGCAGUGGGGAAUAUUGGACAAUGGGCGAAAGCCUGAUCCAGCCAUGCCGCGUGUGUGAAGAAGGUCUUCGGAUUGUAAAGCACUUUAAGUUGGGAGGAAGGGCAGUAAGCUAAUACCUUGCUGUUUUGACGUUACCGACAGAAUAAGCACCGGCUAACUCUGUGCCAGCCGCCGCAGUAACAC